CAAAACCUGUCAACACUCCAAACAGCAAAACAUAUCGCAAUGGAUGAAAAAACCAUCCUAGGCUUCAUGAAGAAUCUAAAGGGGAAAAGCUUCUUGCUUAAUCCAAAAAAGCAGAUACAAUUUUUACAUGCCAUCACUGCAAGCUACACAUGGCUGGCUGAAGCGCAAUGGAGGUCCCUUGUUCCAAAAAGGCAUUGGCAAAGGCAGUAAUGAUGGUGAUGGAGAUGCUGCCAGUG